AUUUGACGAGGCGUUGUCUCGGUUAACAAUGUCCCCUAAAAAAUGUCCAUAUUUCAAUCGCCGUAGAGCAAAUGAUGAGGUUUCUCUUAAAGCAAGCAAAGCGACCGCCUAAGCAUGCUUUCGAGGCAUCUUAAGAUAGGAAAAAAACUCAAGAGUUCAGUGAUCAAAC